CCUACGGGCGGCAGCAGUGAGGAAUAUUGGUCAAUGGACGAGAGUCUGAACCAGCCAAGUAGCGUGAAGGAUGACUGCCCUAUGGGUUGUAAACUUCUUUUAUAUGGGAAUAAAACGUUCCACGUGUGGGAUUUUGUAUGUAUCAUAUGAAUAAGGAUCGGCUAACUCCGUGCCAGCAGCCGCGGUAAUACGGAGGAUCCGAGCGUUAUCCGGAUUUAUUGGGUUUAAAGGGAGCGUAGGUGGAUUGUUAAGUCAGUUGUGAAAGUUUGCGGCUCAACCGUAAAAUUGCAGUUGAAACUGGCAGUCUUGAGUACAGUAGAGGUGGGCGGAAUUCGUAGUGUAGCGGUGAAAUGCUUAGAUAUCACGAAGAACUCCGAUUGCGAAGGCAGUUCACUGGACUGCAACUGACACUGAGGCUCGAAAGUGUGGGUAUCAAACAGGAUUAGAUACCCGGGUAGUC
rnacentral:rRNA from 1 species